CAGCAAGAGACUUGCAGACGUGCUCAAAUAACAACCUCUUAAAGAUCUGGGAUAAACAUUCUUAUACUUUAGUCCAUUCUAUAUAUAGUUUCUCAAACCCCUACCAAAAAACUUACAAGACAAUGAUGGCUUGUAAUGUUAAUGUUAUUCUUCAACAAGGAAAAUUUGCUACAUCAAGCAGAAAGUGGCAAAGCUUCCCGCCUCAUUGUUAUAAAGCCAAUAUUAUUUCUUCUAUAGCUAUUGGCCCAAGUCGACUUCCACAGUCACCAUCGAAGCUAGUUUUCCAUGAAAAAGAGAGGCCAAGUUUGAGCAAUGAAAAAUUUGGCAUUUAUGGUGGAAAGUUCGUCCCUGAGACUCUAAUAUCUUCUUUAACAAAACUUGAUUACGAAUUCAAUUCUGCUUUGCAUGAUCCUCAAUUUCAGAUGGAGCUUGGAGUGGCAUUAAGGGACUACGUAGGUCGUGAAACUCCUUUAUACUUCGCCCAAAGACUCACAGAUCACUACAAGAACAAUAAUAGGGGGAUAGGACCAGACAUAUAUCUAAAAAGAGAGGAUCUCAACCAUGGUGGUGCACACAAGAUCAACAAUGCUUUUGCACAAGCGAUGCUGGCUAAGCGUAUGGACUGUAAAAACAUUGUGGCGGCCACCGGUGCUGGACAACACGGUAUCGCCACGGCGGCUGCUUGUGCUAAACUUUCUUUGGAUUGCACAAUAUUCAUUGGAAGCUUAGACAUGGAGAGACAACCUUCCAACGUACUUUUGAUGAAGCAUCUUGGUGCAAAGAUCAAAUCAGCUAAAGGAAGCUUCAAGGAUGCAGUUUCAGAAGGCAUUAGAUAUUGGGUUAACAAUUUGGACAGCACCUAUUUCCUAGCGGGUGCAGCCGUAGGACCUCACCCUUGUCCCACUAUGGUUCGUGAAUUCCAAUCAGUGAUUGGAAAAGAGACGAGAAAACAAGCUAUGGAGAAGUGGGGUGGGAAACCAGAUGUGUUGGUGGCUUGUGUAGGAAGUGGCUCUAAUGCAUUGGGUUUGUUUCAUGAAUUUAUACAAGAUCAAGAUGUGAGACUCAUAGGAGUUGAGGCUGGUGGGACUGGCCUUGAUUUAGAUAAACACUCGGCAACUAUGGCUAGAGGUCAAGUGGGAGUCUACCAUGGUGCCAUGAGCUAUCUAUUACAAGACGAUGAAGGCCAAAUUAUUGGACCACACUCCAUAGGUGUGGGAUUAGAGUACCCAGGUGUUAGCCCAGAGCUUAGCUUUCUGAAAGACAUUGGGCGUGCAGAGUUUUCUACCGUCAAUGACGAACAAACCUUAGACGCAUAUAAACGACUAUGCAAACUAGAAGGGAUAAUCCCAGCCUUAGAAGCUUCUCAUGCACUUGCAUUUCUCGACAAACUCUGCUCUACUUUAAAGGAUGGUGAAAAAGUGGUUGUAAAUUUAAGUGGUCGUGGAGAUAAGGAUGCUGCUACAGUCUUCAAUCAUCUUUAUCCCUGAUUAGGGUAGAAGAUUUACAAGGAUAUAAUAAAGCAACGAAUGGGACUUAUGACGAUAUUGGAUACCCGAUACUUUGAGUUUAUUGAUAAUUUUGUUUCUCUUUGAACUUUUUAAACUUUUUUUUUUGUUCUCAAGACACACAUAAUUUUAAUAUAUUAAGAAUUUCAUAUGUUGUACGUUUAUUAUAUUCACUUUUUGAA